AGAGACCAUCCACCUUCAGAUGAUCAUGCAACAAAGAUUCCAGCCAGUUCCAGGUGAAGAUACCACACCUUGCCAUCAAGAAGCUACCUUGUCUCCACUAGUCAGAGGAGGAUAAAAUUCAUCCAUUGCCCUGACUUUAUGUAAUAUUACUCUAUUGUGUUUACCUUCAUAUGUCAGUGUCAAUCGUUUUAUGAACAAAGUGCUUCUUCACACAUAAAACGUGAAUACUAAUUUGUAUGUGUUGCCAAAAACCUUCAGAAAAACCUUGUACCACUUCAAUUUGAAUUCCCAGAGAAAUGAGUUGUCAAUUCCCCAUACCAAGUCCAACAAAAAAUAUCAUCUGCUUUAUUUUAUAAUUCAAUACAAAAAAUAAAUUUGAUUGCUUCAUUUUUCUUUCUUAA